rfam:Oscillibacter sp. 57_20 Ley3_66761_scaffold_324, whole genome shotgun sequence.
GGCAGAGUAGAAGCACGCGUGUCGGCCAACAGGCCACAGUGCCGGAGGAACGGGGAGUUGUCCGCCGGACGAAAGGAGAUUUCCGCAGUGUGUGCUUCGCAUCCCGCUGCC